CAAUAGCGUAUAUUAAAGUUGUUGCGGUUAAAAAGCUCGUAGUUGGAUUUCUGCUGAGAACGACCGGUCCGCCCUCUGGGUGUGUAUCUGGCUCUUUCUUGGCAUCUUCUUGGUGAACGUUGCUGCACUUGACUGUGUGGAGCGCUACCCAGGACUUUUACUUUGAGGAAAUUAGAGUGUUUCAAGCAGGCAUACGCCUUGAAUACAUUAGCAUGGAAUAAUAAGAUAGGACCUCGGUUCUAUUUUGUUGGUUUCUAGAGCUGAGGUAAUGAUUAAUAGGGAUAGUUGGGGGCAUUCGUAUUUAACUGUCAGAGGUGAAAUUCUUAGAUCGUUGAAAGAUGACCUUAGGCGAAAGCAUUUACCAUGGAUGUUUUCAUUAA
rnacentral:rRNA from 1 species